ensembl:lncRNA
GGGAUCCGGAGAGUGGCUUAAGGUCGUGCAGUGCCACGAAUCGCACAGGUUCCCUAGCAGGCGGCUCCGUGCACUCAUUCAUGAAGGAGCGCACACGCGUGCAUUAACACGCGCCCAGAGCGCACACACAACGAUGCCCCCAAGCGAAUCCGCAAAUCACCAACUCAGACGCUCGGGCUUGCACCCAGUGCGCGCCCCACUCACUCUCCCUAGGGUCCCCCGGGAGCUGCCACUCCCAGAUCUGAACAUAGCAAAGUCUCCUCAGAGCCCCCUCCCCCAACGCUUGACUCUGAAAUCCGCUUAGUUGGCCCCGCGGCCCCGUGUCCCCUUUUACAAGCGCAGGUUCUGAUUUCCUGAGAGAUGGCAAAGUCCCGGGCAGGAAGUUUACAAGGCUCAACGUAAACACGUUCCGGGGGAUCCUUUAAUAAUAAGAGUAGAGAAGCCCGCGGGCGCGGGGGGAGUUGGCCUGAUGCCCCUAUGGGCUCGGCCUGCCGCCGCCGCGGGGCCUCCGAUGCUGCGCGCCAGGCCGGGUUCCGGAAAGCGGGUGGCGCAGGCGGGGAGCGCGGUAGGGAGCGGCCCUGGCUGCGGGGUCGCGGCCGUGGAGAGGUGGUGCGGGGCGCAGGACCGCUGAAGAUCCCAGCUGGACUCUGCGCGCCCGAAACCAGCUUCUCUACCCUGCGUGCUAGACAUUGCAUACAGAAGAAAAGGACAAAGCAGACCUCCAGACGAACAGGAUCCAGAGUGACCAGAACCAGACCAGAAAUCCUAUGACGACAUCACAGGAGGGGCCAACGUUGGGCUUGAAGAUGAUGGAGACAUUUUCAGGGAAGACCUUCCUGAUCUGCAGAGGCCUGUGACCUGAUCCACAGCUUUUGACCCUAUGAAGCAGACCUCAGGUCCCAUCAGAAAACAGUUGCUUUCUGAAACCGCC